rnacentral:rRNA from 1 species
UACGUAGGGGGCAAGCGUUAUCCGGAAUUACUGGGCGUAAAGCGCACGCAGGCGGUUCGCCAAGUUUGGAGUGACAGUUGUCGGCUCAACCGAUAAAGGACUUCAAAAACUGGUGAACUUGAGAGCGAGAGAGGAACAUGGAACUCCAGGUGUAGUAGUGAAAUGCGUAGAUAUCUGGAAGAACACCAAAGGCGAAGGCAAUGUUCUGGCUCGUUUCUGACGCUCAGGUGCGAAAGCCAGGGGAGCGAACGGG